ACGGCCAUAUCAUAUCGAAACACCGGUUCAUGUACGAUCACCAAAGUUUAGCAAAGUUGAGCCUGGUCAUUACCUAGAUGGGUAACCACUUGGGAAUACUAGGUAUAGC